AUUGAACGCUGGCGGCAGGCCUAACACAUGCAAGUCGAGCGGUAGAGAGAAGCUUGCUUCUCUUGAGAGCGGCGGACGGGUGAGUAAUGCCUAGGAAUCUGCCUGGUAGUGGGGGAUAACGUUCGGAAACGGACGCUAAUACCGCAUACGUCCUACGGGAGAAAGCAGGGGACCUUCGGGCCUUGCGCUAUCAGAUGAGCCUAGGUCGGAUUAGCUAGUUGGUGAGGUAAUGGCUCACCAAGGCGACGAUCCGUAACUGGUCUGAGAGGAUGAUCAGUCACACUGGAACUGAGACACGGUCCAGACUCCUACGGGAGGCAGCAGUGGGGAAUAUUGGACGAUGGGCGAAAGCCUGAUCCAGCCAUGCCGCGUGUGUGAAGAAGGUCUUCGGAUUGUAAAGCACUUUAAGUUGGGAGGAAGGGUUGUAGAUUAAUACUCUGCAAUUUUGUCGUUACCGACAGAAUAAGCACCGGCUAACUCUGUGCCAGCCGCCGCGGUAA
rnacentral:rRNA from 1 species